rnacentral:rRNA from 1 species
AGUAGUUUGAUCCUGGCUCAGAACGACGCUGGCGGCAUGCCUAACACAUGCAAGUCGAACGAAGCCUUCGGGCUUAGUGGCGCACGGGUGCGUAACACGUGGGAAUCUGCCCUCCGGUUCGGAAUAACAGUUAGAAAUGACUGCUAAUACCGGAUGAUGACGUAAGUCCAAAGAUUUAUCGCCGAAGGAUGAGCCCGCGUAGGAUUAGGUAGUUGGUAGGGUAAUGGCCUACCAAGCCGACGAUCCUUAGCUGGUCUGAGAGGAUGAUCAGCCACACUGGGACUGAGACACGGCCCAGACUCCUACGGGAGGCAGCAGUGGGGAAUAUUGGACAAUGGGCGAAAGCCUGAUCCAGCAAUGCCGCGUGAGUGAUGAAGGCCUUAGGGUUGUAAAGCUCUUUUACCAGGGAUGAUAAUGACAGUACCUGGAGAAUAAGCUCCGGCUAACUCCGUG